AACGCUGGCGGCAUGCCUAAGACAUGCAAGUCGAACGAGAGGGCCCAUUGACAUUAUCGAAAGUUGAAGUGCUUGCACUGAUGCUGGACUUAUUUAGAUUUGGAUUUCCCUCGAGUGGCAAACGGGUGAGUAACACGUGGGUUACCUGCCUCUUAGACUGGGAUACCGAUUGGAAACGAUCGUUAAUACCGGAUGUUCUCUACGGAGUAAAGAAGCCCUUAAAGCUUCGCUAAGAGAUGGGCCUGCGGCGUAUUAACUAGUUGGUGGGGUAAUGGCCUACCAAGGUGACGAUGCGUAGCCGUACUGAGAGGUUUAACGGCCACACUGGGACUGAGACACGGCCCAGACUCCUACGGGAGACAGCAGUUAGGAAUAUUCGUCAAUGGGGGAAACCCUGAACGAGCAAUGCCGCGUGAGUGAAUGAAGGUCCUUUGGAUUGUAAAACUCUGUUGUUAUGGAAAAAUGCUAGGAAUAGGAAAUGAUUUCUAGUUGAUGGUACAUUUCAAGAAAGCCACGGCUAACUACGUGCCAGCCGCGGC
rnacentral:rRNA from 1 species